rnacentral:rRNA from 1 species
AGCGAACGCUGGCGGCAGGCUUAACACAUGCAAGUCGAACGCCCCGCAAGGGGAGUGGCAGACGGGUGAGUAACACGUGGGAACGUACCCUUUGGUUCGGAAUAACUUGGGGAAACUCAAGCUAAUACCGGAUAAGCCCUUAUGGGGAAAGGUUUACUGCCGAAGGAUCGGCCCGCGUCUGAUUAGCUAGUUGGUGAGGUAAUGGCUCACCAAGGCGACGAACAGUAGCUGGUCUGAGAGGAUGAUCAGCCACACUGGGACUGAGACACGGCCCAGACUCCUACGGGCGGCAGCAGUGGGGAAUAUUGGACAAUGGGGGCAACCCUGAUCCAGCCAUGCCGCGUGAGUGAUGAAGGCCUUAGGGUUGUAAAGCUCUUUUACCCGGGACGAUAAUGACUGUACCGGGAGAAUAAGCCCCGGCUAACUUCGUGCCAGCCGCCGCGGUAACAC